ensembl:lincRNA B230317F23Rik RIKEN cDNA B230317F23 gene
GGGGAGCCUCGAAGGCUAUGCUGGGCGGCCGAGGUGCCACCUGCUCUCACGUCGCUCACGUUCUCCCCGGCGGAGAAUGCGCUUUCGGAAGUGUGCGGUCCGGGCAUCGUGGCAAUGCCUGGCUUCCGCUCAGCCGUGAGAAGCCGAAGCAGGCGGAAGCGAGCGUAUGACCCCCGGGGUUCCAGAGCCGCGUCUAAUGCUACAGGGCCUGUAAUGGUGUACAGAGUGUACUACGAUACCAUCCAGCCUUAUGCGCCGUCGCAGGUUAUGCGCUUUAACAACAACAACAACAACAAAAAAUACCAAAGAGAAAAUCCUGAUGAAUCCAAAUUUAGACAUCAUGCAUUUCCAAAGAGCUGAGGGUUCCACGUGGUCUUACAUACUGGGUUCCUGUCGUGUGUCACAAUAUAUAGGAAGCCUGUUCCCCUUGCUCAAGGAGCUGUAUUGUGACUCAGCAGGGAGGUGCAUAAAUAAAUUCCUGGCCUCGGCCAGAGCUUGCCCAAGAGCCUGGUGAACAUGUAGGUGCAGUGUUUGUAACUGGACAAGACCUGUGGGACCAGGAUGGCAGUCGCCACUGGGUGGCAGAAUUAAGACAUGUCUUGGUUGAGUGUCUCAUGUAUAUUUAUAUAUCGCCUAAUGAAUACUAAUGUCCUAGUAUAUUUACUGUCUUACAUAUAUUAAGUGUGACUUGGGCUCUCACUGCUGACAUGUUGCCUGAUUCUUUUGCAGGGGGAGCGUCUAGAUUUUUUAUUAAAAGCAGUAGUCAUAGCCAAUCGAUCUGUUUUCUAUAAAGAUGACAGAUUCCUUCUGUACUGUUUUAGUUCUUUUGUGAAAGAUUACUCCUUUAAGUAGACAAGAAAACUGUCUACUUGUACAUUUGUUUUCGUUUGUUUGUUUGUUUGGUAACACUUAUACACAGAUUUGUGAGAAUAAUUUAUUUUAAAACAUGUGGUGGGCACAGUUUGUGGCAUACCAGAAGUGCUGUGUUCUACUUCAAGCUUGACAGAAGUAAAAUACUUAAUUUCUGGUAUAUAUCCAACCACACUAGUAGUUCUCAAUCUUUACUCUCUUCAGAGAAAUAAUUUUAACUGUUUCCAGGUUAGAUGUAAGCCUUUCUGUAAGUACUCCUGAAGGAAAAUGAGAUUUUGUAACUUGUGAUUCAUGUAAAAGCGUUGUCUAUGAGCCCGUGGCCUGGGGCCGAGAACAAAGCAGAACAGACAGGGCUGUUGUUAAGACAUUCCUAAGAAAAGCUUGACUGUAAAAAUGAAAAAAAUGCAAGGACGCAGGCAAAGCUAUCUUGUCUGAGUCGACACCAUCUGGCCAGAACCUCCUUUCUGUCUACUGCCCCAUGACACGGGUAAAGUCAUACAUCAACUGGUUGCUAUGUGAACAAAGAUAAGCCCCUUACCCCAUAAAAACCCCUAGCUUUCGAGCCUUGUGGCUGACAUCUGUUAUUUCCUGUGUGGGAUGCACGUCGGUCUGGAGCUCCGUAAUUAAACGUCCUCAUGUAAUUACAUCAGGAUGGUCCUUCGUGAUUUUUUGAGUGCACGCCGAAUCGGGAAUUGGGUGGGGGUUUCCCUUCUAGGUUCUAACACUCCUUAAAUGUGUGAGGCUCAGAAGCACCACAUUCAAUAAUGUUCUGUGUGAUAGCGUCAUCAAAAAAUAGAUUACAGCCAAGAAAUCAACUUCUUUGUGAUUCCUCCAAGAUUCUUGUCAGAAAAAAAAUCAGCUGACAUGAAGUCUCUUCUUUAACACACCUGAGUUGAAAGACAGAGUCGGGACAUCCCCGGCACUGUGUAGUAUAAGUGCUGUGACAUGAACACUUGCAACAUCAUCUCGUCCCUUGUCCUCAUUGACGGGGAUCUUAUCAACCCUUUUAAGAGUGAUAUUCUUACGGCAGAGAUAAUUCUCAGUAAGGAAUUUUUAUAGACUUAUAAAAAAAAUAAAAGAACAACAAACAAAAACCAGCAGCCUGACUAUCAAAAUUCUUAGGACUUUAAUGAGAGUCUGUGUGACUCUCCUGUUGCUAUGCACAGGUAUUUAUUAUAUGAGAGUUCUAUAGGAUAGAAUUCUGACACAAGUCUCACUGGUUAAAAUCAAAGUUGGCUACAUUGUUUUCUUCUAGAGGCCUGAGGGAGGAAUCAGCCUUGGUGCUGCUGUAGUUAUUAGAAAACAUUUGAAUUUCUUGGCUCAUUUACUCCCUCAUCUUCAAAUCCGUCAGUGAAAGGCAGAGUCUUCCCAUAACCUAACUUAUUGAUUCUAGAGAUUAAACAGACAAGGCUGUCUUUGGGGAGCUAAAAUAUGCUGCCCGCCCUGGAAUAAUGUCUUAGUAUACAUUCUAAUAUACUGGAGGUAUUCAGAGACACAGAAUUAAUUUAUCUGCAAAAGGUCACUUUCUCUUUUUAAGUUGGAUUUUAUUGUUGGUAGAAGUGAGCUUAAGCAGUGAUAAUAACCAAACCCUGUUAAUAUUUAG